rnacentral:misc_RNA from 1 species
AAGCCUGCCUACGCGGUGACGUUCGAGCCGCAUCCGCGCAGCUUUUUCAGCCCCAACACGCCGCAGUUCAGGCUGAGCGAUGAAGCCGCCAAGCUGCGCCUGCUCGCCGGGACCGGUCUCGACGGCGCGGUGGUGAUGACAUUCGACGGCGCCCGCGCCGGCACCACGGCACAGGAUUUCAUUAACCACGAUCUCAUCGGCCGGCUCGGAAUCAGCGGCAUCGCCGUCGGCUACGACUUUCAUUUCGGCAAGGGGCGCGCGGGAUCGCCGUCGCUGCUCGCCAGUGAAGCGCCGCGGCUC